CCUAGGGGAGGCAGCAGUAGGGAAUAUUGGGCAAUGGGCGUAAGCCUGACCCAGCGACGCCGCGUGAGGGGUGAAGGUCUUCGGAUUGUAAACCUCUUUCAGUAGGGAAGAAGCGAAAGUGACGGUACCUAAAGAAGAAGCACCGGCUAACUAUGUGCCAGCAGCCGCGGUAAU
rnacentral:rRNA from 1 species